ACUGAUAAUGGCCUGGGUCGGAGCAGGACACAUCUGGCAUGGUGGGGUGAUGAGCACAGAGCCUGCUGGAGAACAAGGCUGCUCCAAACUGAGGCCUAGCAUGUGACAGGACACUACCCAAGCCACCUCACAGACAAGUACUGACCCUCAACUGUCCUCCCCUGGAAUCGGUACCACUUUGAUUGGCCAGGAGUGAGGUGGCUCAGAUCAGCACUUACUGUCCUUGUGAGGAUCAAUAUUUUAUCUGUGCACUACCCACCACCCAGAGGUGCUCUGUGGGACCUUCCCUGGGCUGUCUCUGUCAUCUUCUGCUGAACUAUCCAGCCAACUUUCCCAAACUGCCUGUCUUUAUCUCCUCAUCUCCAGAAGACUGUGGGCAGCACACAGGUGUGAAGACCUACCAUUUCUGAGUUCUGUUUCCGAUUGUCAAGUGCAGAAGCGAGUCCUCCAACAGCCUGGGGAUCCUCAUAGGUGACCCUGAAGAAAAGCAGUGCAAAUGAGUUCCCUCCCAGUGGGUGCAGAGCUGUGCUGUGACCUGUAAUCUUUUCCUAUCUCAUGGUGCUUGCGUCAGGUGUGAUCUUGGCCUGCAGCAAAGGCUAAGGACCCAGCAGAUGCUAGGUGGAGGUAAGUUUUGGCACCAGCUCACACCUAGAGUCGGUCUUCUAAGACCUGGGAUACUAUGCUUUUCAAACAUCCCUGCCUUGAGUAACAAUAUUGAAGCUCAAGAGAAAGAUGUCAAAAAUAUUCUGGUCAUCAAGGAAGGGGCUUCAGAAGACUAAGUAACUAUGUUACAAGCACCAGCCCCCACUGUGCUACUUCCAGAUGGAGGGGCUGUCCACUCUGGAGUCAGUAUCCCCUUUGUGUAUGGCUUGCCUUGCCCGAACUGCUUGGAGAAGCCUCUGCCCUGAAGUUUUCUGUUUUGUGUUUUGCCUUCAAUUGGUUGUAUGCUGGGAGCAGGUCUGGCUGCCUGCUUUGGGUGGAGGGGCUGAACGAGGCAGCCAUGUUAGGUCAGUACGCUUUCUCCUCAGCCCUAAGAGGGCUGUAGAAAAGAAAAAAAAACAACCUGUGACAAACAGAACAGACAACCCUGGGGCAGAGGAGAAGGGGAGACGAGGCUGGCACUCACUCAGUUUUAGCAGUUAACAAUUCCUGACUGUGAUAUUUUUAUGUCUCUAGAAGUCUUAAAUCUGGUAAAGAAAGGGCUGCUUCUCCUUUUAAUGUGACCAUGCUGGGACAACACCCCCUCACCCACUAAUAUCUGCAGAAAGCCACUGGGAAGAGCCCCACAUACGUUUUUCGCUGUUCAGCCAAGGAGUUUCCUCUGGUCUGGGCAAACAUGUCAAAACCAUCUUGUGGCUUGCACUGCUGAAGUGAACUGAGGGUGCCACUGACACUCUCUGUCCCCAAGUCUGUGACAGCAAAACAAGAACCAGACAACAAAUGCAGGUUGUAUAAAAAGCUGGUAAAAAUUGUU
rnacentral:lncRNA from 1 species